rnacentral:rRNA from 1 species
CCUACGGGAGGCUGCAGUGAGGAAUAUUGGUCAAUGGACGUGAGCCUGAACCAGCCAAGUCGCGUGAGGGAUGACGGCCCUAUGGAUUGUAAACUUCUUUUAUAAGGGAAUAAAAUGAGGCACGUGUGCUUUUUUGCAUGUACCUUAUGAAUAAGGAUCGGCUAACUCCGUGCCAGCAGCCGCGGUAAUACGGAGGAUCCGAGCGUUAUCCGGAUUUAUUGGGUUUAAAGGGUGCGUAGGUGGGUUGUUAAGUCAGUUGUGAAAGUUUGCGGCUCAACCGUAAAAUUGCAGUUGAUACUGGCAGGCUUGAGUACGGUUGAGGUAGGCGGAAUGCGUGGUGUAGCGGUGAAAUGCUUAGAUAUCACGAAGAACCCCGAUUGCGAAGGCAGCUUGCUAAACUGUGACUGACACUGAUGCUCGAAAGUGUGGGGAUCAAACAGGAUUAGAUACCCCUGUAGUC